GACGAACGCUGGCGGCGUGCCUAACACAUGCAAGUCGAACGGGGUCCAUGAGAGCUUGCUCUCGGAAGACCUAGUGGCGAACGGGUGAGUAACACGUGAGAAACCUGCCUUGGAGUGGGGAAUAACUCGGGGAAACCCGAGCUAAUACCGCAUACCUUCCUUUGAUCGCAUGAUCAGCUGAAGAAAGAAUUUCGCUCCUAGAGGGUCUCGCGGCCUAUCAGCUAGUUGGUGGGGUAAUGGCCUACCAAGGCAACGACGGGUAGCUGGUUUGAGAGAACGAUCAGCCACACUGGGACUGAGACACGGCCCAGACUCCUACGGGAGGCAGCAGUGGGGAAUCUUGCGCAAUGGGCGAAAGCCUGACGCAGCAACGCCGCGUGCGGGAUGACGGCCUGUGGUUGUAACGACUUCUAGCAGGACG
rnacentral:rRNA from 1 species